UAACCAAAGAAAAGUGUCGUAUGCCGGCCGGUCUUGGGGUUUUUUGAAAUUUUGGCUAGAAAAAAUGAUUUUAUUGUGUAUUAUUGGUUCGUAAUAUUUUCCUAAGGCUCUGCUCGACCUUUUGUAAUAACAUGUUAAUAAUAGCACACACGAGCACACAGUCUUCAUGCAUCCUUUCACACAAGUGGAAAAGGUGGAGAUCCCAGACAACGGUGCUUAAUUGGUAUUGGAAGUGACUAUGGUGAGGCUUAAUCGUCAACCAAGGGUUAAAUACGAUGCAGGAAGCUAAAUAGGCAUCGAGAGACAAAGAUUUAUGGUAAAUGGAGGCUUCGAUAAAACAGUUCAGUACUAUCUACAACUACAACUUUGAAACUAAACAAAGAGGUUUUAUCUUCGUGGCAGUUAUUGGUAUGUCCUUCAUCAACCGCAACAGUUUGAAAAAGAUGCCAUUACAAUUGAUUAAAUUCAACAGUGGAAUGAGGAUGAAAUUCAACAUUAAAGAGAAAUUAAAUAAUUUUAGAUUUUCCAGGGCAGUACAUUUUUAUCCUUUUGAUCCAUAUCCUAACCAACAAUGCAUCAGGACUUUUAAGUAUAUUUAAAAUUUUAUUUCUUUUCGGAUAAAUAUAUAUUUCAACUGUUUAUUAUUUUUAAAUUUGAUUAAGUAGGAAAAAAAUCCAAUGAGUCUCUGAGUUACAUUUUUAUGAUUCUUUAUUAUCAGACCAUCUAUUUUUAUUUUGGGACAAUAUUUGGCUUUUGGCCACUUCAUUUUCUUUUUUGUAAAUUUUUGAAAACAUCCACUUAGAACUUUACUUCAAGUUGUUUUUGGUUUAUUUUUAUUUCUCUGUAAUAGCUUGACUCUCAUAUUUUCUUGCUUAUAGGAAUAUCAGUAUUUCUAUAGGUUUUAUUCGUUUGGUAAAUGCAUGUUUAAGUAAAUGGUAUAUUUACUUAAAUGGUAGUAGGAUUUUACUUCAUGUUGUUUAUGGUUAACUUUUAUUUCUCUAUAACAGCUUGGUUUCUAUAUUUUAUUCAUUGUGGGAAUAAUAUCAUUUAGCGAUUCUAUGAUAUAUUCCAUUGACUGCAUUUCUGUAAGUCUUAUUUUAUUUGUAUUAUUUCUCUUAUGGUUUCAUUUGAUUCUUUUAAUAUUUUUUGGUUGGGUCAUUUCUUCUGCAGAAUUUUAGUUUUGAUGGAUUUCAUUUUCAUGUCGUUUUUCCCAGAUUGUAUGCCAUGAAUUGCUAUAAUUUUAUGGAUUCUGUUGUUUUAGUUUGCCUGUGUUUGAAUAUAACAUAAACACACAAUAACACACUUAAAAAUCUCACAGCAAGGACUAUUUUCCAGUAAAUUCCUGGCGCAUUCGCCAUUUAUUCAAAAAAUCUGAUGUCCAUAGAUAAUGUCACUUUUCUUGUUCUUUGCAUUUUUCCAAUAAAUUUUCCUGAUUACCAUCGACUCCAGAGCAUCACAGCUAGCCUCCCCGCAAAAGAGGAGGUCUGGGUCGCCCCCUAACCCUGAUGUUCGGCCAUCGAUGACCUGUGUAGCAUGCAAGGGUACCCAAGGGUAUAUACCCAAAGGUCUUUUCGCAUAUAUUCUCACUUAUAACAUAUUCAUUUCUGUCAUAUUUUCUUUAUAUUUGGAAUAUCAUCAUUCCUCAAUUCUAUAAACUCUUCCCAGUUAUUGUCUUAUAUAUUUGUAUAUUUUUAUUUUGUCAUUCUUCUGAUACUUUUCUAAGGCAUACUUAGAAAAUCAUUCAACACAUUUCUAUUGUCUGUAUAAAAUUAUUGCUUUUUUAUCAAUUUUCGUCCUAUUUUUCUAAAAUCAUCCCUCAUUUUCGUGGCAUAUUUUCCAACUCAUGUCUUUUAUUUAUUUUAUUUUUCACUCAUUACUCUUCUAUUUGUUUGUCUUAUUCAUUACUGUUAUCCUCCUAAGACAUAGUAUUUCAACAGAUCUAUUCCCUGUAUUAUAUUUUUUAUUAUUUUUCAAUACAUCAUAUCUCUUAAGUUACUUUUUGUCUCCCAUAUUUUCUUCCUUGUGGGAAUGGCAUUAGUCAGCAAUUCUAAAAACUCUUCCAUUGAAAGUUAAGGUUGCCUCAUAUGUAUAUAAUUUUAUAUUUUUUGUGUCAUUCUUCUGAGACUUCUCUAAAUUCAUUCAAAGCCCUCCAUAGACUACACGUAUUAGUGUUUGAAUUCUUUAAUUUGUAGUUUUCCACCUUUUUUAAAUAUUACAAUUAAAAUAUUUCUUAAUUACGAAUGCAGCCAACUUAGCCAUGUUUUUUAUUGUAUUGCUAUAAAAAAAGUUUUCUAUGUUACGAAAAAUUGCUAUAUAAUACCUACUACCCUAUUAAUUUACUGAAAAUGUAAAGUUAUUGAAGUAAUAGAUUUUAAUCAAGUAUGUUAAGCGGGUCACACACGACCAGUAUUAUUGACAGUAUUUCCAAAAAUUGUCAUUAAUAUUGACCGUGUGAAGGAAAACAUACUGAUGGGAUUGUCAGUAUACCGAUAUACUUUGGAAAUCUUGAAAGUGUUUUGGGAUACUGACAAUACUCAAUGCAAUCAAUAAUACUGAUCGUGUGAGGCCCGCUUUAGUGAACAAACAAUUAAUUAUUUCUUAUAUAUUUUCCUUACAAAACCUUACAGUUUCAUUUUUUCCUAUUUCUUAGAACCUACUUUCAUAUUGUCGAUUUUUUUGUCGCAAGAAAACCAUGUUCUUUUUUGCUUUACUGCAUUCAACGAAUAAAAAUACAAAAGAAAAUUAUAAAAAUAAUAACAAACAAGUUUAUUGCAACAAAUAAAGACAGAAUUUUUGAAGAUAUAAUUGAUAAAUCAAUAUUUAUUUACUCUAAUUUUAUUUAUUAUACUUGUUUAUAUAAAAUUCAACUAACUGAAUAUGUUCUCAAUCUAGUUUUAACGUUAUAAUUAAGAAUUUCGUAAUUAAUACGUUAAUAUAAGCUCUAAAAGAAAAUUGCUUUAAUUCAAAUUUUUCGUCUAACCCGCGAAACCGAUUGCAGCGCCAUAUUAUCGUAGUAGCAUUUUUUGAAACUACAUUAGCAUGUGACGCCAUCAGUCGUUAACUAGUUCUACUAUAAAAACAAAUAAAGGAGAUUUCUGUAAAAGCUAGGUUUUCCUGUGACAUCUAGCGAAAAGUAGUGGUAUGUAAUUUAGAUAGAGUUCUGUAACUGUU